UAGCUGAUUUGCCACUUGAAAAUACAAAGUUAUUCACAGAAACAAGAAUUAUUUGAAUAUAUUUGAACUUGGGUCAAGAGAUGUAAACCUGAAAGAAACAGAAAAUAUUUUCCCUUGAACCUUUGAGAGCACACACUACAAAAAAAAUGGCUAUUACCUACGGUUAUUUAGCCACGGUUGCAAAAACCGUGGUAAACUUAAAUAAAAACUAUAAAUUUUUCAACGUAUAAAAAACGGACGCUAAAAUACCGUGGCAAAAUCAAGCGGGAAUUAAAAUUUUCACUGCCGCUUACUUUAUUUUCCAUUCCCCCCAUUUGUUUACCUUAUUAAUCUUUUUCUCUUUGAUUUUUAGUCCUCUCUUUCGAUAACAACAAGAAAACAAUAUCAGUUCGAGUGCUUCUUCUCCCAAAAUGACUAAGACAUCCCCUCCUUCGAGUAGUAGUGAAAUAUGGUGGAAUCGUUCUAGGCUGCUGUUGUUGCUUUUUCGAGCUGCUUUUGGGUCUUCAACCAAUGAGGAUUUUGAUGGGGAAAGAGAAUCUUUAGCUGAAAGUAAUUCGUUGUGCUCAAGAUUGUGUGCUUUCAUAGAUGAGAAUGAAAUCACAGAUGUCGUGACCAUCCCUCCAUCGGGGAGAGCACUUAAUGGAAGUUCAAAUAAAAAGCUUCUAGUACUUGAUUUGAAUAGACUCCUUGCUGAUAUUGUUCCACUUCAACAUGUGCCGUAUGGUCUCAAAGUGGAUGCCAUUAUUUUGGGGGAAAGAAGUUUUCAAAAGGCCUUUCCAUGAUGAUUUUCUGCAAUUCUGUUUUGAGAAAUUCAAUGUAGGUGUUUGGUCAUCGAGAAUAAGGAAGAAUGUGGAGUUGGUUCUUGAUCUUUUAUUGGGAAAUACCAAGGAAAAGUUGCUCUUCUGUUGGAAGGAAGAUUGUAGGACAUGGCCAAUGAGAAUGUCAUUGAGAAAACAGAGAUCUUAAGUUAGACAAAUAAAACUAAGCUGAAUUCUUGGAGGUAAAUUCAAAGGAUUAUGCAUCUUGGAUGGCUGCAGGGUGGAUAUUAUAAUUUGGACGAUGUAGGAAAAUGCCUAUCAAUUAUGUAUUGUUACCAGAAAAAUGUAGGAAAAUAAUAAUUAUUUUUUUUAAAAUGAAAUACUUUUGCCACGGUUUUAACCAUGGCUAAUUUUUCUAAUGAAUUGAACAAAUUAGCCACGGUUCUUGUAUGUCUAAUUCAAAUUGAUUUUUCUUUCUCCUUUA